CCUCCAGGCCUUCCUGGAUGCAGAUAUACACAAAGAUGGAAGCUGGGCGGAGGCUGAUGCCAUCUUUGGACAGCAGAGUCUUGGACUGAUGUUUACUGGAUCCUGCACAGGGAAUGGAGGGCAGGAAAUGAGUCUACUGAAGAGGCAAGAGGAAGAAACUUUGAAGAACAAGAGCGUAUAUUUCAGCUGCACUCCUUAAAAGCUAAAUAACUGGCCUCCUUAUUCCCCCAGCCAGGGGCUAACUGGCUUUCUGGUUCAGGGGCUUAGAGACUCAAGAGAGCCACUUGAAUUGAAGACAACUCAGGAAAGGGCAGCGAGCCAGCAUUUAAAGGAAUAGCAAACAGGAACCAUGGAAGAAGAACCAGAGGAAAAGGAAUCAUUUGCACUAGAGAAGAGGCCAAAGAAAGAGGAUCAAGGGUUUUCCGUUUCCAGCGAGGGCAAAGCUGGUAUCAGAAAGAACUUCCUGAAAGUAAAGGAAACAUGAGCAUAAUGGAGGAAUGAGGAGCCAUGGAAUCUUCUUCCUCCUGAGAGGUCUAGCACCUCAGAGGAAACCCCUGUCUUGUCUGAACAGGAAAUGCCUGCCCUCCUUUGGGAGGAGUGGUUAAAUGAGAUGAUUGGGCAGGGGUCAGGAUAGGGAUAGACUCAACCUUCUCUCAGGCAGAUGGCUGCUUGUCUCUGGACCUUGUAAUCAUGUCCCUCUCUCCAACCCCUAUGUCUGGUGCCUCUCCACCUGAUUUC
rnacentral:lncRNA from 1 species